UGCCAGCCGCCGCGGUAACACGGGGGGCGCAAGCGUUAUUCGGAAUUAUUGGGCGUAAAGGGCGCGCAGGCGGUCUUGUCCGUCAGGGGUGAAAUCCCGGGGCUCAACCCCGGAACUGCCUCUGAUACUGGUAGUCUUGAGUUCGAGAGAGGUGAGUGGAAUUCCGAGUGUAGAGGUGAAAUUCGUAGAUAUUCGGAGGAACACCAGUGGCGAAAGCGGCUCACUGGGGGAUGACUGACGCUGAGGCACGAAAGCUAGGGGAGCGAGCAGGAUUAGAUA
rnacentral:rRNA from 1 species